CCACCCAAGAAGGACAUGAAGGAACAGGAGAAAAGAGAAAGGAGCGAUAGAGAGUCCGAAAACCAAAUCUGACGAAUCAGGGGAAGAAAAGAAUGGAGAUGAGGAUUGCCAGCGAGGCGGGCAGAAGAAGAAAGGAAACAAACACACGUGGGUUCUAUUACAAAUUGACAUGAAGCCUGAAGUGCCCAGAGAGAAACUGGCUUCACGCCCCACUCGCCCGCCGGAGCCGAGAUACAUACCUGCCAACCGCGGAGAGAUCAAAGGGUCUGAGCCGGCCACCUGCGUGCCUGUGCCCCACCCCCACCCCAGCCUGGCAACCAGAGAUCAAACCGGAGCCUGCCUGGCACGACCAGGAUGAAACAUCGACCCAUUCUGACUACCAGUUUGGCUAGUCAAACUGGUAGUUUGAUGGUGUGGAGGGGCCUCGUACCCCCAAGUACAUGAACAACGUCACCUACUACUGUGACAAUGUCAGCGGCACCGAGCUUUACAGCAUGGAUCAGGAACUGCUCAGACUACAUCAAGUGCCAGAUUGAAUACUACUUCAGCCUGGACAAUUUAGAGCAAGACUUCUUCCUCCGAAGGAAAAUGGAUGCUGAUGAUUUCCUACCCAUCACUCUUAUUGCUUCCUUCCACCGAGUGCAGGCCCUUACCACUGACAUUUCACUCAUCUUUGUGGCCCUAAAAGACAGCAAGGUUGUGGAGAUUGUUGAUGAGAAAGUUCAUAGGAGGGAGGAACCAGAAAAGUGGCCUCUUCCUGGUCCCCCAAUAGUGGAUUAUUCAUAGACUGAUUUCUCCCAGCUUCUCAACUGCCUUGAGUUUGUCCCCGAUCAGCACUACCAAGUCAGCACUACCAAAAGGAGACAGAGUCGGCGCCUGGCUCUCCUUGUGCAGUCACCCCAGUGCCAACCAAAACAGAAAAGGUCAGCAACCUAAAGACACUACCCAAGGGCCUGUCUGCCAGCCUGCCUGACCUGGAUUCCAAGAACUGGAUUGAAGUGAAGAAGAGGCCUCAGCCGUCCCCAGCACGGCCCGAGAAGUCAGAGGAGCUCAGAUUUACCCACCCAACCUCUCUGCCUCAGCAGCUGCCCUCCCAGCAGCUGAUGUCAAAGGAUCAGGAUGACCAAGAGGAACUGGAUUUCUUGUUUGAUGAGAUGGAGCAGGUGGAUGGGUGGAAGAACACCUUUACUGCCUAGUCUGAUGAAGAAUCUGACUAUGAGAUUGAUGACAGGGAUGUCAACAAGAUCCUCAUUGUCACCCAGACACCACAUUGCAUGCACCGGCACUUGGGGGGGACCGCACAGGCAACCACACCUCCUGUGCCAAGAUGAGUGCUGAGCUGGGCAAGGUCAUUAAUGAUGGCCUCUUCUACUAUGAGCAGGACCUGUGGGCUGAGAAGUUCGAACCUGAGUAUUCCCAGAUCAAGCAAGAGGUUGAGAACUUCAAAAAAGUCAAUAUGAUCAGCCGGGAGCAGUUUGACACACUGACUCCUGAGCCCCCUGUGGAUCCCAACCAGGAAGUUCCUCCUGGGCCACCUCGGUUCCAGCAAGUUCACACGGAUGCGCUGGCCAACAAGUUGUUUGGUGCUCCUGAACCCUCCACCAUCGCCCACUGUCUAUCAACCACCGUCCCAGAGUCACCAAACUACCACAACACUGGGACCCCCCGCACUCCCCGGACACCACAGCUCAAAGACUCAAGCCAGGCAUCACGGUUUUACCCAGUGGUGAAAGAAGGACAGACACUGGAUGCCAAGAUGCCUUGAAAAAGAAAGACAAGACACAGUUCAAACCCACCCUUGGAGAGCCAUGUGGGCUGGGUGAUGGAUUCCCAUGAGCACAGGCCCCGUACUGCUUCCAUCAGCUCAAGCCCCUCAGAAGGGACACCUACAGUUGGCAGCUAUGGCUGUACUCCCCAGUCGUUGCCCAAGUUCCAGCAUCCUUCCCAUGAACUGCUCAAGGAAAAUGGCUUCACAUAACACGUCUACCAUAAGUAUCAUAGGUGCUGCCUUAAUGAGCAGAAACGCUUGGGCAUUUGCCAGUCUCGGGAGAUGAACACACUCUUCCACUUCUGGUCCUUCUUCCUCUGAGAUCACUUCAACAAAAAGAUGUAUGAGGAGUUCAAGCAGCUGGCUCUGGAGGAUGCCAAAGAAGGCUACAGAUAUGGUUUGGAGUGCCUUUUUCGAUACCACAGUUAUGGCCUGGAAAAGAAAUUCUGGCUGGACAUAUUCAAAGAUUUUCAGGAGAAAACGGUGAAGGACUAUGAAGCUGGCCAACUGUAUGGCCUGGAGAAGUUCUGGGCCUUCUUGAAAUAUUCCAAAGCCAAAAACUUGGACAUUGACCCCAAACUGCAAGAAUACCUCUGCAAAUUCCGACGUCUUGAAGACUUCCGAGUAGAUCCCCCCAUGGGUGAGGAGGGCAACCACAAGUGACGCUCAGUGGUAGCAGGAGGUGGCGGUGGUGAGGGCAGGAAGCGGUGCCCUUCUCAGUCUUCCAGCAGGCCUGCCGCCAUGAUCAACCAACCCCCUACACCACCCACUGGCCAGCCCGUCCGGGAAGAUGCCAAAUGGACAAGCCAGCACUCGAACACACAGACUUUGGGAAAGUGAAAAACUCCUUAGCCCUGGGGCUUGAGAAGAAGGGAAAGGGGUGGGGUGGGUAAGAGUCCAUGGGGGUGCCCAGUCCCAGUAGAAGGGACAAUGAAGGGACAGGCCUGAAGCUACUAGGACAGGCCUUCGUGCUGAGUAGCAAUGUGUUCACCAUUUGAGCUAUCAGAGUUACCCUGGGCAGGAGCCUCUUACAUCCCCUUCCCCUCCUCUCUCCAUGACUCUUAACAUCCAAGCUUUUUCUAAGGGUGGGGGGAAGGGGGAAGAUUAUAUAUAUGUGUCUGUGUGUGUGUGUGUGUGUGUGUGUGUGUAUAUAUAUAUAUAUAUAUAGAGAGAGAGAGUUUUAAAUUAUUGAUAGUUCAUCUGGAUUACCAAAAUCACUCUGCAGCCCUGCCCACGGCUAGUAGGCGGAAACCCUAGUCCCCACCUCUAAUCUCCUCCUGCUCCCCCUCGAGCCAACUAUGCAGUCCACAAGAAGGCCCUGCGGGCACCAUUGCCCAGCACUGUCCCAUAGAAGGCUCUGGUGAUAACCUUGGGCCCCAGGAGCAUCGGUCCCUCAAUCAUCUGGGGUUUGUCAUCACCAUGUACUCUCCCUGCUAUCACCAUCAUGUCCUUCUGCCAUCUUCUGGGAGAAGGAAACCAAAGGAUCUAAAACUGGGGUUUGGGGGGAGGUUUUAGCCUCUCCCUACUCCCCUUGACCCACACCCUUUACUCCCCAGCCCAGAGAGAUGCUGCUUAUACCAGGAAAGACUAUUGAAAGAUGAUUGAUUUUAUUUUUCUCUGACCUUUCCAUCCUUGAGAAAAUGGAAAAAAAAAAAAGACAAAACCAACCAUAAAAGACCAAAAAAAAAAAAAAAAAAAAUCAGAAAACCCCCUCCUAAUCCACAGAAAGUUAUGUCCUUCUCCUUUUGGAAAUAAUAUUUUUUUUAAAAGUUGCCUUAUUGUGGAGCGGGAAUCUGAAAUACCCAAAUGCCUGUUCUCCUCAGUGGAGUCAACCCGAAGAGCUCCCACCUUCUCUGGAUGUGCCUGGGCUUGGACUGGCUAGAAUUUUUCUCUGGACUGUUGCAUGUACAGUGUCUCCAUCCUGGAGGCAAGAGAGUUGGGGGUGGCUCAAAUCAGAGCCGUACCUAAGAUAUCCCUGAUGUUGCAUCAUUUGUAGCUGACGUCCUGUACACUGCUGCCACUGUUGUGUCCUUGCUCUGCUUGCUGUUGCCUCAUGCCAGGCCCCGUCCUGCUAUGACACCCUUCAUCCUAUCCUGGGAACCCCAAGGCCAAGUUUCCUUCGAACUGUUGGAGAACAGAGUUGGCCUGUAUCUGGAACACACUCGUCCUCAGCUUGAACGUCUUCCUCCACCCAGAGUGGAAAGGUGAACACCUGCAGCUGAGGCUUGGAAACAUUUGUGCUGCUCUGAAAGAUCUCUGAGACCUCAAGGAGGCUCUGUCUCUCUUAAAGGGUGGAGAAAGAUGCCAUUCUCUUCCUAAGGUCUGGUGGAGUCUCCCCAUCUUGCAUACCCUUCUGCAAGCCAUCUAUCUAUGCUCACUCUCCAAUUGACCCACCUGGGAACAAGGGAUGAGGAGGAAUUGGGGGCUGGGGGGAAUCCUGCCAGUUGGUGAAGUCCUGUGGUAGGAAGGUAUAUGUGGACAUAGAGUAUACCUGAUUCUCUUCAGCCACUGACUGCUUGGGUUGGGCUGUAAAUGACAACGGAGUGGCUGGAGUCUGCUGUUGUCAGAAGGCAGGGAGAGGAUGAUGAAGGACUGACCCACACGAACUGGGAUGUGUGCUGAGUAUGGGCAUGACUGCAUGUUCACUCUCAGGGGGAUCUGGGUAACAUGGAGGAGUUCACGGUCCUGUUGCUCACUUACUGCAAUGUGCUUGGCUCUCCUUUUCAGCUGGUUCCUCUGUUGGGCCCAAAGGUUGGGAGUAGGAGACAGUAUCCCAGGCUGACAAAGGCUUCCCCUUUACCUUGAGUACCUUGUUAAAUUUUAGCUUGUGCCCUUCCCCAACUUUGCCCUCCUAGUGGUUGGUAUGUGGGAAGCCCAUCUCAGUUCCUGUGACUUCAUGUCUCAAACCAAGGAUAAGCGUCUGGUCUCUGCUAUGAUGGUGGUAUCUGAGGCCUUUCCCUGCCGUCUGGUGCCUGCCUCACAUUGUACCAGACACUGGAUUCCUGGACUCCCUUCUCCUUUCUUUUCUUUCCUUCAGGUCACACAGCCCUGUACCGUAUCCAGCAUCACAGAAACCUCAGUGUUUUUUCUCUGCUGGUUUGGGGGCACAAGGAAGCCCUAGGGUGUGGGGAAAGGCUGUUCUUACCUAGAGUUUACUCCCAGGCCAGGGGGCUGCCAUCUUCUUCACAGACGUCCCUGAAAGGAAGCCCCUUUGGGGAAGGGAGGUGAGGACUCCACCUCAACAUAGGCUGGUGGCUGGAGUGGGGAGCUUUUUUUUUCCCUCUCUUCUUUCCUUUUUUUUGUGACGUUAGGAGUUCAUGUUGCAAAGAGUAGUUUACAUCUUCACUUUCUGAAGACACUUGAAUUUAGGACCGAUGUAUCUGUGACAAGCAUGCCAGAAGUGGCGGGGGUCAUCAGGGCUAGCCACUUCACACCCACCAUCCUCCCAUGGGGAUCCAAGACCUGAGACACAAAGCAACAGCCUGCCCAGAUCCCUUUGUUCAUCCUGUCCCUUCCAAGGUUGGUCCAUGCCAACAUAACCUUUGGGCAUCAGAAAUCAGCAGGUCUGUGUGCCUCAGCCAUGUUAAGGGGCAGGUUUCUCUUCUGUCCUCUCCUGCACCUGGGAGCAAAGGCACUACCAUUAGAGAAGGACCAUACAGCCCUGCCCCAGCUUGGACCCCUGGGGCUCAGAUAGAGGUGCUGAGCCCCUAUGCCAAAGUUGUUAAACGUUUUUGUUUUGUUCCAUUGUAGCUCUUUUUUUCCCUUUCCUGGUGAUUGAUUUUAUAAAAGAAAGUAAGCUGCUUAGAAGGUCCUGGAAAUGAGGAGGAGAGACAAGGAAGAUGACUAGUUAGGGAGGGAGAAGGUUGUUUUUUGCCCAAAAAAAAGCCUGGAUAGAGUGAUCUGAAUUAUCUGGCACCCUCCUGAAUGGAACCCCAGAGUACCUCCCGUGUGGAAGAGUCCCUGUAUUUUCCUGACACCCACCCUCUCCCCCUUCAGCCAUGUUGAUGGCAAAGAAGAUAAGAACUUGGAGCCCAUUUCUCACUGGAGAGGAAAACUUGUCAUCUGGCUUUGCGGAGAAGGUUCCACCUUAAUGCUCGUAGUACAUUGUCUUCAUUAUGUGCUAGGAUAUCAUAUUUAAAAGGACAAAAAAAUGUAAAAUACUUGAAUGAGCUUGUAUUAUAACAUUAAUAUUUUUGAGAGUA